CCGGAUGGAGCGUUCGCGCUGUUUGCAGCCGAAAGUCGUCAAUGCCGUGGAUGCGAGCCGAAGUCGCUGCCUCCGGUCUUGGACAGGAGACCACUUCACCGUGGAGGUUAGUGCCGGAUCAAAAAAACAAACGGAAUUGCUAAUUUUCAUCCGGAUGAAAAUUAUUCGUCUUCAUCCGUUUUCUGAGCCGUACGUUCUGUUGCGCCGUGAUUCAUGGUUUUUCCCCGUCCUUUUUUGGGCGCUGACUUUUCUUAUCAGGCCCGCUGAAUUUUUCAAUCCAACCCGUUAUGCUCCCCUCGCUAUCCCGCAUCUGUGGCUUCCUCUUUCUCUUCCCAUCCUCGUCAUUUCCUCUUUGCCAUUUCACACAUGCAUCCCCUGGAACAGAGGUUGGGAGAGAUGGCAAUGGCGAUUUGGAUCUCCCUCUUGGCGAUCGAUGCAGUUGGUUGUUGGUGACUCAUCUGCACUCUUUGUCCCACUCCCCUGCUGCCUCCGCGCCCCGCUCGACCUCCCGUCGGUUGUCUGCAGGAUAUCUCGCCCCCCGCACCAACCACGGCCCCAAUUUCCCGCCUCCUGCCGAUUUUUGUUCAUCUGAUUCGGUAAUUUCUCUUGAUUUUCUCUUGUUUCACAGAUUCUGAUUGGUAGUUUUAGGGUUUUUAUAGUUAGAUCUAUGUGUAUUUCCCCGCAUCGUUCGUGUAGAUGUGUGAGGUUCCGCCGUUUCUGGGUUUGAAUCUCGUUUGCCAUGGCGGAUUUUGGCGGCGGAGUGCCUUGUGGUAGGGGGAGGUAGUUCGAGUUUCUCGUUCGUAGGCCGCUCGUCCAUGUCCAUGGGCAGGCCGAGGUAACUAGAGUGGUGCUCCAUGAGGGGGUUUCACUGUUAGUUUUGAUUUGAUCUGUAACUGCGGUGUUGUUAUGUAUUGGGGAGGUUUUUGAUUAGGUUGGCUUGUUUAGUUGUAGUAGUAUGCGAUGGUGAUCUAUCCCUAGGUUGUGCAUGCAGGUUUCCCCUAGGCUGACAUCCACUUGCAUUUGCAUGGUUGCGUGGUUGUAGUUUUUACAAUGCAGUUCUCACACAUCCCCCUGCAGGUGGAUACAGGACUAUAGGAAUGGGUCAGUAGAAUUUGUUGUGUUUCUGAAUUUGUUGUGGUUCUCUUCUUUUGUCAGUGGAUAUUUCCCAUUUGUUUUUACAAUGUAACUUCAAGUGCAUUUACAGUGUAAUUUGCUAUGGAUUUACAGUGUAAUUGUGACUAAUUUUACACAGUUAUUCCUAGUAGAUUUUGCAGUGUAUUUUCUUAGGGGGUUUACACUAUAAUUUCUAGUGGAUUGUACAGUGUAAUCCCCAAUGGAUUUACAGUGUAUUUAGUGUAAUUCUUAGGCGUGUUGCACUGUAAGUCUUAGUGGGUUUUGUAAUUCUAUUUUUUGUUUAGCAUGUAAGUGUUCUCUGUUGUGCCUGCAUGCGCUAGUUAAGUGUUGGAUUUUCGCAUCCGUGAAAGUGGUCCGGAACUGUAAAUUUGAGUAAUGUUUCACUUCUAGUGUCAGAUCUCGUUUGUCCUGUGAGCUAGAUUGUCUGGUUGAAUUCGGCUAGUUGUCUAUUUCACUUCGCCUGUUGUUUGUUUCUGUUCAGGUCCCUGUGCAUGUCCCAGUCGGAUGGGAUGCUUUUUGUUUCAGUUCAGAUCCCUUUGAUUUGCUUGUACGGCUUGUUUCCUCGCUCAACAUCACCUACCCAGCAACCAAACUAGUCUACUGUUUGCCCCUUAUUCCUUCCAUUUCUAUUUGUUUGUUUCUUACUCCCUCCGUGUCAAAAUAAGUGUCUCAACUUUGUACUAGCUCUAGUACAAAUUUGUAAUAAGCUCAAGACAUUUAUUUUGGGACGGAGGGAGUACAUUUUUAGAUGUUCUUUUACUGAUUUGAUUCUUAAUUUCAGUUGUACUUCCCUAUUGGUCUCGAUGAGCACUGGUUCUCAUUUGUCGUUUGCAUCAAAGAUAAAGCUUUUGUGUUUCUUGAUUCGGCUUAUGGAUCGUAUCACAGAGAUAUCCGUGAUGACCUGGUAAUUUUUCUUUACUACACGAAUAGUUUUUAAUGCUCCUGCUUUGUUCUAGUCCUCUUUUACUUUGUAAUCCCAUUUUUUUUCGUUUUCCCACUGUAUCUCAGUGGUAUUUUACAGUGUAAAUCUAAUUAUUUUUUAGGAUUUUACACAAUAACUCUCAAUUGGUUUUUGCAAUGUAAUUUUCUUGUUUUAAGUGUAAUUCUCAAAAUGAUUUUGCACUAUAAUUCCUUAGUGAAUUGUGUGCUCUCAAAAUGGUUUGCACUGUAAUUAUACUUGUUUCUCUCAAAUGCAAAUUUAAUUAUCUUGUUUUUACAAUGUAAUACUCAAAAGAUGUUGCACUGUAAUUCCUUAGUGAGUUCUCUCAAAGUUUUUGCAGUGUAAUUAUCAAAAGAUUUACAGUGUAAUUCUCAAAGUUUUUACACUGUAAUUAUCUUUUGUUUUACAGUGUAAUUCUUAUAGUAUUUUUGCACUGUAAUUCCUUAGUGAGUUCUGUACUUUUUACAGUGUAAUUCUCAAAGUAUUUUAGACAGUAAUUAUGUUUUGUUUUACAGUGUAAUUCUCAAAGGAUUUGCAUUGUAUCUUUUAGUGGAUUUUUACAGUGUGAUUCUCAAAAGAUUUACACUGUAACUCUCUUAGCGGUUUGCAAUGUAAUUAUACUUGUUUCUCUCAAAUACAACUGUAAUUAUCUUGUUUUACAGUGUAAUUCUCAAAGAAUUUGCACUGUAUUUUCAGUGCAUUUUUACAACUAAUCCUAAAAAGAUUUACACUGUAACUCUCUUAGUGGUUUGCAAUGUAAUUAUCUUAUUUUACAGUGUAAGAGUUUGCACUGGAUUUUUGCAGUGUAAUUCUCAGAAGAUUUACACUAUAACUCUCUUAGUGGCAGUGUAAUUCUCAAAGUUUUUUUUCACGGUAAUAUCUUUUAGUGUAACUCUCUUAUUGGAAGUGUAAUUCUCACUGUAAUGUUCUUGUUUGAUACAGUGUAAUUCUCAAAGUAUUUGACACUGUAAUUUUUUAGUGUAGCUCUAAAUGAUUUUACACUGUAAUAGUCUUGUUUGAUGCAGUGUAAUUAUCUUGUUUUGAUACACUGUAAUAUCUUUUAGUGUAACUCUCUUAGUGGAAGUGCAAUUCUCACUGUAAAUCUCAAAGUAUUUACACUGUAAUAUCUUAGUGGAUAUACAGUGUAAUUCUCAUUUUUUGGAUUUUUACUGUGUAACUAUCAUUGAUUUACACUAUAACUAUUUUAUUGGUUUUGUUAGUGGGCUUUACAGUGCAAUUCUUAGUGGUUUUACUUGUAAAUCAUAGCACCAUUUGUACUGGUAUCCAUUGCUUUGCUCUAGUGCACUUUUAGUUUUUUUCUUGAGUCUACCGAUAGCUCUUUUGUACAGUAAAUUGGUUUGGUAUGCAUUUCCUAAAUUUUUUUUAGUUGCAACACAGAUUCAUAAUUUGUGUUUAGUUGCAACACAGCGAAUGACAUGUUUUUCAGCCCCAUGAACAGUUGUGACAAGUCUUUUGUAACUAAUUUCUUUCGUGAUGCAUGUUCUUUACUUGCCUUGUCAUUUGUUUCAUUUUCUUAUUCUCCUUUUAGCUUCUCUUUUCUUUUUACUAAUAUUCCGGGUCUCUUUGAAUUUCUAUGUGUAGGGAGGCAAUGCCAAGUGAGGUUCAGAAUGUGCGCGGUCCUAGCACAAAUGGUGGCUGAGUUCUUAUUUUACUAGCAUGUAAUCCAAGUGAGGUUCAGCAAGUGAGGCAAUGCCAAGUAGCAAUCAAGCUGAGCAUAGCAGUAUUUUUGGUUUUAGUAGUGGUCUGUAUGUUUAAUAUUACACUGUAAUUAUUAAUGUUUAAUCUUAGCAAACUAUUUGGAUUAUUGGUGGAUUUACAAUGUCAUUUUAGUGCAUUUUGCAGUGUCAUUUUUAAUGCACCUUACACUGUAAUUCUUAGUGGGCAUGGUAGAAAUUAGUGUGGUUUUGCUUUAGCUGCUUUUCUGUUCAGUCAUGGAGUAGCUUUUGGCUGUAUCAGUGUGCUUUGAUUUCCUGUUUGUAGCUGCUUUUCUAUCCGGGUUGGUAAAGGUUUAGUUGUGGACCCGUUUGUCUGUUUAAAAGCUGGG
rnacentral:lncRNA from 1 species